GAUGAACGCUGGCGGCGUGCCUAAUACAUGCAAGUCGAGCGAACAGACGAGGAGCUUGCUCCUCUGACGUUAGCGGCGGACGGGUGAGUAACACGUGGAUAACCUACCUAUAAGACUGGGAUAACUUCGGGAAACCGGAGCUAAUACCGGAUAAUAUAUUGAACCGCAUGGUUCAAUAGUGAAAGACGGUUUUGCUGUCACUUAUAGAUGGAUCCGCGCCGCAUUAGCUAGUUGGUAAGGUAACGGCUUACCAAGGCAACGAUGCGUAGCCGACCUGAGAGGGUGAUCGGCCACACUGGAACUGAGACACGGUCCAGACUCCUUCGGGAGGCAGCAGUAGGGAAUCUUCCGCAAUGGGCGAAAGCCUGACGGAGCAACGCCGCGUGAGUGAUGAAGGUCUUCGGAUCGUAAAACUCUGUUAUUAGGGAAGAACAAAUGUGUAAGUAACUAUGCACGUCUUGACGGUACCUAAUCAGAAAGCCACGGCUAACUACGUG
rnacentral:rRNA from 1 species